AUGCCAUGACUGAUGACUAAUUUAUUAUCAACCUAAUCUUGUUGCUCAUGCAGGAAGAGGGUGCAAUAGAGGCUUGCUUUGUAUCAAGGAGUCUGUCCCAUAUACAUGGAAUUUUGUGACGAUUCUGAAGCAACCUUCAAAAGAGCCUUAGACCUUCUGCUGAAGCAAGGAAUGGUGAAGGAAGGAGAAGAAGUAGCACUUGUACAAAGUGGUAGGCAACCCAUAUGGAGGUUCCAAUCCACGCACAAUAUCCAGGUUAGGAAAGUGUAAGCCAAAGGAAUGGAAAGUGACCACAAAUAAUGUUUCAAGUCACGGCAAAGUUUAGCAUCAUCUUUAGAGCAUCAUAGUUUGUUUGGUUUCUUUAGGUUUCAUAUUAUUCUCAUUAAAAUAUUAUUGCUAUUAUUUUUUUUUCCUCUGUAAUUUGGUUGUCUAAAUUUUAUUGAAAUUUUGGUUAAGAAGUUCAAAUCAGAAACAUGCUUCCAGUAUCAAGGAUUGACUUGUUUGUCACGCCAUGUUUGGAUGAAUGACAGUGAUUUCAGAAGUUAAAUUCUGGAACAGUAGUAACAUUUGAAUUUUUUAAUUUGAACGAUUAUGAAAAUUAAUUUUCGCAAAA